rnacentral:rRNA from 1 species
GUAAAGCGUUCGUAGCCGGUUUGGUAAGUCUUUGGGUAAAUCUUCAGGGCUAACCUGAGGAAUUCCAGAGAUACUGCCAGACUGGGAGUUGAGAGAGGUCAGAGGUACCUCCGGGGUAGGGGUGAAAUCCUAUAAUCCUGGGGGGACCACCAGUGGCGAAGGCGUCUGACUAGAGCAAGCUCGACGGUGAGGGACGAAAGCCAGGGGCGCGAACGGGAUUAGAUACCCCGGUAGUCCUGGCCGUAAACGCUGCGCGCUAGGUGUUGCAUGCUCUACGAGGGCGUGCAGUGCCGAAGAGAAGUUGAUAAGCGUGCCGCCUGGGAAGUAUUACCGCAAGGUAGAAACUUAAAGGAAUUGGCGGGGGAGCACCACAAGGGGUGGAGUGUGCGGUUCAAUUGGAUUCAACGCCGGGAAACUCACCGGGAGCGACGGCAGAAUGAUAGCCAAGCUGAUGACUUUGCUUGACGAGCCGAGAGGAGGUGCAUGGCCGUCGUCAGCUCGUACUGUGAAGCGUCCUGUUAAGUCAGGUAACGAGCGAGACCCGUGCCCUUAGUUGCUAAUUUCUCCCAUUGGGAGAAGUGCACUCUAGGGGGACCGCCAGUGCUAAACUGGAGGAAGGUGCGGGCGACUAUAGGUCAGUAUGCCCCGAAUCUCCCGGGCUACACGCGGACUACAAUGGAUGGUACAAUAGGUUUCGACUCCGAGAGGAGAAGGAAAUCCCCAAAGCCAUCCCAAGUUCAGAUUGUGGGUUGCAACCCACCCACAUGAAGCCGGAAUCCCUAGUAAUCGCGUGUCAUCAUCGCGCGGUGAAUAUGUCCCUGCUCCUUGCACACACCGCCCGUCAAGCCACCCGAGUGGAGCUUGGUCGAGGUUAUUCCUUCUGGGUAUAUGCGAGUCGAUU